rnacentral:misc_RNA from 1 species
GAACGCAUAUUGCGCUCUCUGGUAUUCCGGAGAGCAUGCUUGUUUGAGUAUCAGUAAACACCUCAACUCCCCUUUCUUUUUUUGAAAUGGGAGCUGGACUUGAGUGAUCCCAACGCUUUUCUCACCGAAAAGUGGCGGGUUACUUGAAAUGCAGGUGCAGCUGGACUUUUUUCUGAGCUAAAAGCAUAUCUAUUUAGUCUGCCUAAAAAACAGAUUAUUACCUUUGCUGCAGCUAACAUAAAGGGAGUUUUGACCAUUAUGGCUGACUGAUGCAGGAUUUCACAGAGAAAAGGCCGGCAACGGUUUUGUCUCUGUCAAACUCGAUCUCAAAUCAAGUAAGACUACCCGCUGAACUUAAG